rnacentral:rRNA from 1 species
AACGAACGCUGGCGGCAUGCCUUACACAUGCAAGUCGAACGGUAACGCGGGGCAACCUGGCGACGAGUGGCGAACGGGUGAGUAAUACAUCGGAACGUACCCAGGAGUGGGGGAUAACGUAGCGAAAGUUACGCUAAUACCGCAUAUUCUGUGAGCAGGAAAGCGGGGGAUCGCAAGACCUCGCGCUCUUGGAGCGGCCGAUGUCGGAUUAGCUAGUUGGUGAGGUAAAAGCUCACCAAGGCGACGAUCCGUAGCAGGUCUGAGAGGAUGAUCUGCCACACUGGGACUGAGACACGGCCCAGACUCCUACGGGAGGCAGGAGUGGGGAAUUUUGGACAAUGGGGGCAACCCUGAUCCAGCCAUGCCGCGUGAGUGAAGAAGGCCUUCGGGUUGUAAAGCUCUUUCGGCGGGGAAGAAAUGGCAACGGCUAAUAUCCGUUGUUGAUGACGGUACCCGCAUAAGAAGCACCGGCUAACUACGUGCCAGCCGCCGCUGUAAUAC